AUCAGACUAGUUAAAAAGUGCACAAAGCCAGACAGAAAAGAAUUUCAGAAAAUUGCCAUGGCAACAGCUAUUGGAUUCGCCAUUAUGGGAUUUAUUGGAUUUUUUGUCAAGCUAAUCCACAUCCCAAUCAACAACAUCAUUGUUGGUUCCUAAAUGAACUGGUUUCUUCUGCUUGUGUGCCUCCAUGGAAUGUUUGGAUGACAGUUGAUAGAGCUUAAGUUUGUUGUGAAAAGAAUAUUUGAUGUUCAAAAAAGUGUAUUAAAAUGGCUUGGUUACUUUU